rnacentral:tRNA from 1 species
GAGAAAGUCCAAAGAACUGCUAACUCUUUAACCCGCAUUUAACACAUGCGGCUUUCU